ACACUGCCUGUUUUUCUAAUUUCGUGAACUAAUUUCCUUUCUUUUCUCCCUGAGAUAACCAGUCCAUUUGGGACUGAGGGGCUUAGCACCAGCAUCACUCCUACAUCUUACAAACUGAAGAGCUAGUUAAAACUAUUACCAGCCCAUUAAACCAGCCACCUGGACACCAUGUUGCUUGGAUUUUUGCAUCUUACUUCAGAACUGGGCAUAUGUGAGCCACCAGCAUGAGGCCUUCACCAUUCUUUAAUUAUACAGACUGAUGUGAUGUCUGAUCUUGGGAUAUCAUGCUCUCCCUGGAGGAACUUGUUCUUAAAGACAUCUGAGGGGAUUCUGACAGUAAUUUCUUUUAUUGGUGGAAGAAAGGAUUUGUUUUACCCCAAACCAACCUGAGGAACCUGUGAAGCAAGGCUUAAGAAUGGUUCAAGUUUCAACAUAAAACCUACCUGAGCCUGACCCUGACUCUGACACAUAGCAGCUGUGGACACUGUGCCUGAGUCCUCUCUGCCACACAAGGAGGAUAACGACCUUCAUGAUUGUUGGC
rnacentral:lncRNA from 12 species